CCGCUCUUGCAAUUUAAGGAUGUCAUUUCUUCCUAGACAAUAAAAUAUACAAUUUACGUUGUCUGAUUUGUAAAAUGGAUAGGGAAAAAUUAAAGCUGAGAUGUAGCGGGAAAUAUCCCGCUCUUGCAAUUUAAGGAUGUCAUUUCUUCUCAGACAACAAAAUAUGCAAUUUAUGUUGUCUGAUUUGUAAAAUAAAUAGGAAAAAAAUUAAAGUUGAGAUGUAGCAGCGGGAGAUCUCCCACUCUUGCAAUUUAAGAAUGUCAUUCUCAGACAAUUAAAAUUUGGAGUUCUGUUGUAUGAUUUGGGAAACACUUAAUUAACUCAAAACCUAAAGCACUUGACACUUACAUAAAAAAUAAAAACCUAUCGCUUAAAACCUCUCUCUCACACACACACUCACACUCAAAACCGCUCAUUUUGUCGAGAGAGAAAGAGAGAGUUCGAGAGAGAAAAGGGCAGAGGAGCCGCUCCCCUUCUAGGCGUGCCUCCGCCGUUGGCCGAUCGGAGACCAUCACUCAACUCUCCUCUCUCUCUCCUCUACCUCCCCACACCCACAAAAUCGACAUCCAACCAUCCCCUUUCUCAAAUCGAAAAUCCAAACCCUAACCCCAAUUCUGAUUUCUGGCCAAAUCCUCUCUUUUCUGGCGAGCUCAAGCUUCUAAAAGGGAAACUGAUAUCUUUUCUUUCAAUUUCGAGCUCCCUUGAGCUUUGUUUUUCCGUUUGGGACCUAAUCCCUCUUGUCUUCUUCUUUUCUGGGUUCGUCUGCAACGUCGCCGUUGACGACUCUCCAGCCUUGCAUUCGAUUCUUCAAGGUAAUCCUUUCCUUCUCUCUCCAAUUCCAAUUUAGAUUGGGUAUCAUAUAGUGCACACCACAUGUUUGAUAGAAUGCCUCAUAGACACAACAAAGCUGAAGCAGUGGGCUUUUCCAUGAUUUUCGAAAAGUCUAUACUUCUUUGUUCAAUCUCAGUUUUUAACAGUUGAAAAUAGACUCUUCAAUGAUCGUUUUAAACUUGGUUUCAAGUAAAACGGAGUUGAUUUGAGAAACUUGUGCUAUUUUAAAAGUUCAUACAAUGUUUCAGAAUUUUCUGCAUAAACUGCAUUUUCAGUCACUUUGGGUCUCUAUUUGACCAUGUAUUUGAACUCCAAACGACUUAAAAUUUUGGGACAUUGUAGUUUUGCUUGUCUACUUUGAUUCUGGAGAUUUUCAGCUGAAAGUAUUAAAAAUUCCAUUGUUAAUGAAUUUUUCCCUCCUACUAUCUGUUAUUAGGAAAUUUCGCAAAUUGCAGCCUAGUGUUACAAAACAAUUGACUAUUAAUGUGUUCAAGAUUUUUGUUGGGAUGUACUUUUGACUAUUAGCUAGUAUUGGUAGGUUCUUUAGAAUGCUUGGAUCAGAAAUAGAGCAAUGAUCACAUAGUGCACACCACAUGUUUGAUAGAAUGCCUCACAGACACAACAAAACUGAAGCAGUGGGCUUUUCCAUGAUUUCCGAAAAGUCUAUACUUCUUUGUUCAAUCUCAGUUUUUAACAGUUGAAAAUAGACUCUUCAAUGAUCGUUUUAAACUUGGUUUCAAGCAAAACGGAGUUGAUUUGAGAAACUUGUGCUAUUUUAAAAAUUCAUACAGUGUUUCAGAAUUUUCUGCAGAAACUGCAUUUUCAGUCACUUUGGGUCUCUAUUUGACCAUGUAUUUGAACUCCAAACGACUUAAAAUUUUGGGACAUUGUAGUUUUGCUUGUCUACUUUGAUUCUGGAGAUUUUCAGCUGAAAGUAUUAAAAAGUCCAUUGUUAAUGAAUUUUUCUCUCCUACUAUCUGUUAUUAGGAAAUUUCACAAAUUGCAGCUUAGUGUUACAAAACAAUUGACUAUUAAUGUGUUCAAGAUUUUUGUUGGGAUGCACUUUUGACUAUUAGCUAGUAUUGGUAGGUUCUUUAGAAUGCUUGGAUCAGAAAUAGAGUAAUGAUCACAUAGUGCACACCACAUGUUUGAUAAUAUGUCUCAAAGACACCACCAAGCUGAAACCAGUGGGCUUUUCCAAGAUUUUCGAAAAGCUUAUACUUUUUCUUUUCAUCUCAGUUUUUAACAGUUAAAAAUAGACUCUUCAAUGAUCGUUUUAAACUUGGUUUCAAGCAAAACGGAGUUGAUUUGAGAAACUUGUGCUAUUUUGAAGUUCACAUAGUGUUUUAGAGUCUUAGUAAAGUUUACUGCAUUUUCAGUCACUUUGGAUCCCUAUUUGACUAUGCAUUUGAACUCCAAACGGCUUAUAAUUUUGGGACAUUGUUCCUUUGUUUGUCUGUUUUGAUUCUGAAAAUUUUCCCAUGAAAAUAUUGAAAGGUCAAUUGUUGGUGAAUUUUUCUUUCUUACUACCUGUUUUCUGAAAAUUUCUCAGAUUUGCAGCUCAUUGUUAUAAAACAAUGGAUUUGGGAUCCUUUACAUUCUUAUUUUUGUCAUUGAAAUUUAACAAGUUUAUCUAUGCAUAAAUCCUGUACUUUCAGUUCUAAAAGGGCAUGAAGGUUUCAUUCUUGACAAGCAUCACUUUUGCAUGUUCUUAUCAAUACUUCUUUUUUUUUUUUGAAAGAAAGUCAUUGAUGUAGGACGGAUGGCCGAAGAAAUCGAGGAACAAAUUGAUCGUUGCAGGUCCAAACCCAGUUUGCUGCAGAUUUGGCGUUCGGUGUCCGAAUGACUAUUAUUAUACCUUUCUGGAAGCGGAACUGCCCAACGAAUAAGACUCGCCGUUUCGUCACGACGUAUGGGCUUUUUCGGCCAUCCGAGUUUGUUUCGGACCUUAAAUCAGCGUUUUAUUAGUUUUUGGGAUUUUAUGUUUCCUAGUUCUUUUCGGAUUGUGUUUUGAUUCAAUCCUUGGGCUUUUAGGUUUGGUUGUUAGUCGCCCUAGGGUUUUGUUUUCCAUAUAUAAGCACCCUUUUGGGUAGCUGAGAGGCAGUUUAUUAAUUAUAAUUCAGAAUUUAAGAGUUUUACUCUUAGUCCUUGGCGCGCUCCAGGUUUUGGUCCUAUAGAGUUCUUCGCUUGAAGACUCUCCACAUAUUAGGGUUUAACGCUGGUUAGCCCCCAUACUCCUGCUGCGUCAAGUGGUAUCAGAGCCAGACGUUCCUGUCUCUUUUAUCCUUGAUCAUGGGUGACGCACCGAUUACUAGAGCAGACCGAGAAGGUAUCCUAGAAGGUGUUACUGCGAAUUUUACCGUAGCCCUUGCUACGUUGACUAAUCAGGUGAACGAAUUGAAGACUGAUAAUAACAAUAGGAAGCGUGGAGAAGGCAGAGCUAUUCCUCAACAUAGGGUUCCACGAGGGAGAGGAACCACAAUUGCUAGCAGCUCUGAGUCUGAUUCAGAAGAUGAAGUUGUUGAUCUGGCGCAAUUAGGGCAAGAUGAUAAGGAUUUCAGGAUGAAGGUUGAUAUCCCUUUCUUUAAUGGGAUGAUGAACGUGGAGGAAUUUCUGGAUUGGCAAAUUGAAGUGGACAGAUUCAUAGAGCAUAUGAAUGUCGCGGAACAUAAGCAAGUGAAGUUGGCGGCAGCUCGUCUCAAGAGCACUGCGGCAGUUUGGUGGGAUAAGUUGGCAUUGACGAGAUUGAGACAGAGAAAAAAACCCGUCAAGAAUUGGCGGAGGAUGAAACAGUUGAUGACAGAACGAUUCCUGCCAGAGGACUAUGAACAGAUUCUUUACAGGAUGUACCUAGAUUGUGUUCAAGGGGCGAAGACUGUAACAGAGUAUACCGUUGAGUUUGUGCGUCUUUCUGAGCGCAAUGACUUAGGCGAAUCUGAAGGGCAGAAGGUUGCUCGGUACAUCAGUGGGUUGAGACCUUCCAUACAAGAGAAGAUUGGCUUACAAACUAUGUGGUCUAUGACUGAGGCUGCAAGUUUGGCGAUAAAGGCGGAGCUGAUGGAGAGAUCCCCUAGAGUUUCUUUUCAGUUUCCAAGAUUCACUAGUCAGAGGAGUACUAAAGUCGGGAGUUCUGUUGGAGAUAAAGGGAAAACAAUGACGCAGAAUACGAGUGGAAUGACCACUAGGGCUUCUAGUGCUGUUAACAAAGAGGGUGGCGUUUCUGGUUUUGGCAGUACUAGCAGGGCAACUCGGGCAGCACCUGUGCAGCGACCUUUUAACCCUUAUACAAGGCCUUUCCCAGGUACUUGUUAUAGGUGUUUACAGCCUGGUCAUAGAUCCAACGAGUGUACUGCCCCUCCGAAGGUGGUUAAAGCAGUUCAGGCUUUAGUCGAGGCCUGUGAGGGGGAAGACGAGGCGGAGGAAGGAGGCGAUGACUAUGAAGGGGCUGAAUUUGCAGUGGAAGAUUCUCCAGAAAAGGUGAACAUUGUAUUGCAGAGAAUUCUGUUGUCUCCCAGGAAGGAGGACGGUCAAUGUAAGAACCUUUUCAGAUCGCAUUGUUCUGUCAACAACAAGGUGUGUAAUUUGAUUGUGGAUAAUGGGAGUUGUCGAAAACUUUGUUGCUGAAAAGUUAGGUAGAGUAUUUGCAGUUGCCAAAAGAGGCCCAUGUGAUGCCCUAUUCUCUGGGUUGGGUGAAGAAAGGUCCUCAAGUGCGUGUAACCAGAACCUGUAAAGUGUCUGUUUCGAUUGGUAAGCAUUAUAGGGAUGAAGUAGUUUGUGAUGUUCUGGACAUGGAUGCUUGUCAUAUUCUGUUUGGGCGCCCUUGGCAGUAUGAUGUUGAUGUUACUUACAGGGGUCGGGAUAAUGUGAUGUUGUUUAUGUGGGGUGAAUUUAAGAUUGCUAUGGCUCCUGUGGUGAACUUUGUCAAACCUGUAGAAAAGAAGAGGGAGAAUUUUCUAAUCUUGUCCAAGAAUGAACGAGAGAUAGAGGAAGACUUUAAGGAGUCAGAGUUGUGUUGUCCUGUGGUGAUUAAGGGGUUGUUUAGUGCAGAAAAAGAACCUGUGGAGAUCCCUGAAGAAGUACAACAGUUGCUUAAGGGAUUUGAGGAGUUGAUUUCUGAUGAGCUCCGAGAUAAAACUAUUGCCAGCUUGGAGAAACGGUAUUUUUGGCCCCAUUUGAGGAGGGAUGCCACGGCAAUUGUCCGGAAGUGCUAUGUUUGUCAGGUUUCUAAAGGUCAGUCUCAAAAUACUGGUCUUUAUACACCUUUACCUGUUCCUGAAGACAUUUGGCAGGAUCUUUCAAUGGAUUUUGUGCUGGGUUUGCCGCGUACACAGAGGGGAGCGGAUUCUGUAUUUGUGGUUGUUGACAGGUUUUCUAAGAUGUCGCACUUCAUUGCUUGUAAGAAGACCUCGGAUGCUACCCACAUAGCCAAGCUAUUUUUCAGGGAGGUCGUGCGUUUGCAUGGGGUUCCACGAUCUAUCACUUCUAACAGAGAUUCGAAAUUCCUUAGUCAUUUCUGGAUCACUUUGUGGCGGAUGUUUGGGACAGCUUUGAACAAGAGUAGCACUGCGCAUCCUCAGACUGAUGGGCAGACUGAGCUUACCAACCGAACUCUAGGUAAUAUGGUCAGGAGUGUAUGUGGAGACAAACUAAAAAGUUGGGAUAAUGCUUUGCCACAGGUGGAGUUUGCUUACAAUAGUGCUGUGCAUAGUGCUACUGGAAAAUCAUCUUUUUCAUUGGUGUAUACUGCUGUUCCAAAACAUGUGGUGGAUUUAGUCAAGCUGCCACGGGGUCAUGGUGUUAGUGUUGCUGUUGAAAAUAUGGCCAAGGAAGUGCAAAAAGUUCGUGAGUCAGUUAGGGCUAAACUGGAAGCCACUAAUGCAAAGAAUAAGGCUGCAGCUGACAAGCAUCGCCGGGUUAAGUUAUUCAAGGAAGGUGAUGACGUUAUGGUGUUUUUGCGGAAGGAGAGGUUUCCUGUUGGUACCUACAAUUAGCUGCAACCCAAGAAGUAUGGUCCUUUCAAGGUUCUACGGAAGAUCAAUGACAAUGCUUAUGUUGUUGCACUUCCUAAUUCUAUGUCCAUUUCCAAUACCUUUAAUGUGGCUGAUAUUUAUGAAUACCAUGCGGAUGAGGCUCUUUAUCCUGUUGAGAACUCGGGGUCGAGUUCUUCGGAGGUGGAGGAGACUGAUGUAGGACGGAUGGCCGAAGAAAUUGAGGAACAAAUUGAUCGUUGCAGGUCCAAACCCGGUUUGCUACAGAUUUGGCGUUUGGUGUCCGAAUGACUAUUAUUAUACCUUUCUGGAAGUGGAACGGCCCAACGAACAAGACUAGUCGCUUUGCCAUGACGUAUGGGCUUUUUCGGCCAUCCGAGUUUGUUUCGGACCUCAAAUCAGCGUUUUAUUAGUUUUUGGGAUUUUAUGUUUCCUAGUUCUUUUCGGAUUGUGUUUUGAUUCAAUCCUUGGGCUUUUAGGUUUGGUUGUUAGUCGCCCUAGGGUUUUGUUUUCCAUAUAUAAGCACCCUUUUGGGUAGCUGAGAGGCAGUUUAUCAAUUAUAA
rnacentral:lncRNA from 1 species